rnacentral:rRNA from 1 species
UACAGAGGUCUCAAGCGUUGUUCGGAUUCAUUGGGCGUAAAGGGUGCGUAGGUGGCGCCGUAAGUCGGGUGUGAAAUUUCGGAGCUUAACUCCGAAACUGCAUUCGAUACUGCGGUGCUUGAGGACUGGAGAGGAGACUGGAAUUCAUGGUGUAGCAGUGAAAUGCGUAGAGAUCAUGAGGAAGACCGUGGCGAAGGCGGGUCGUCUGGACAGUUCCUGACACUGAGACACGAAGGCCAGGGGAGCAAACGGG